UACGAAGGGGGCUAGCGUUGCUCGGAAUCACUGGGCGUAAAGCGCACGUAGGCGGAUUGCUAAGUCAGGGGUGAAAUCCUGGAGCUCAACUCCAGAACUGCCUUUCAUACUGGCGACCUUGAGUCCGGGAGAGGUGAGUGGAACUGCGAGUGUAGAGGUGAAAUUCGUAGAUAUUCGCAAGAACACCAGUGGCGAAGGCGGCUCACUGGCCCGGUACUGACGCUGAGGUGCGAAAGCGUGGGGAGCAAACAGG
rnacentral:rRNA from 1 species